UAGGAUAAUAGUUUAAUAAUAAUAUUUGAGUUGCAUUCAAAAGAUGUUGAAAUUCAACUUAUCUU
rnacentral:tRNA from 2 species